rnacentral:rRNA from 1 species
CCGGCGCCAUAGGAUGUGGCUGCGGCCGAUUAGGUAGACGGUGGGGUAACGGCCCACCGUGCCGAUAAUCGGUACGGGUUGUGAGAGCAAGAGCCCGGAGACGGUAUCUGAGACAAGAUACCGGGCCCUACGGGGCGCAGCAGGCGCGAAACCUUUACACUGCACGCCAGUGCGAUAAGGGGACUCCGAGUGCGAGGGCAUAUAGUCCUCGCUUUUCACCACCGUAGGAAGGUAGUGGAAUAAGUGCUGGGCAAGACCGGUGCCAGCCGCCGCGGUAAUACCGGCAGCACGAGUGAUGACCGCUAUUAUUGGGCCUAAAGCGUCCGUAGCUGGCCGCGCAAGUCUAUCGGGAAAUCUGCUCGCCUAACGAGCAGGCGUCCGGUGGAAACUGUGUGGCUUGGGACCGGAAGACCAGAGGGGUACGUCUGGGGUAGGAGUGAAAUCCCGUAAUCCUGGACGGACCACCGGUGGCGAAAGCGCCUCUGGAGGACGGAUCCGACGGUGAGGGACGAAAGCUCGGGUCACGAACCGGAUUAGAUACCCGGGUAGUCCGAGCUGUAAACGAUGUCUGCUAGAUGUGCCACAGGCUACGAGCCUGUGGUGUGUCGUAGGGAAGCCGAGAAGCAGACCGCCUGGGAAGUACGUCCGCAAGGAUGAAACUAAAGAAU